UGACCCAACUAUGACAGUAUGUCAUGAACCAAGAAUUAAUAUUGAUUCAGUUCUGUGCAUCUGGGAUCCUU
rnacentral:snoRNA from 1 species